UACGGAGGGCGCGAGCGUUAAUCGGAAUCACUGGGCGUAAAGCGCACGUAGGCGGCCAGAUAAGUCAGAUGUGAAAGCCCCGGGCUUAACCUGGGAAUGGCAUUUGAUACUGUCUGGCUAGAGUAUGGUAGAGGGGGGUGGAAUUCCAGGUGUAGCGGUGAAAUGCGUAGAGAUCUGGAGGAACACCGGUGGCGAAGGCGGCCCCCUGGACCAAUACUGACGCUGAGGUGCGAAAGCGUGGGGAGCAAACAGG
rnacentral:rRNA from 1 species